rnacentral:rRNA from 1 species
UCCGAAGGGGGCUAGCGUUGCUCGGAAUCACUGGGCGUAAAGGGCGCGUAGGCGGCGUUUUAAGUCGGGGGUGAAAGCCUGUGGCUCAACCACAGAAUGGCCUUCGAUACUGGGACGCUUGAGUAUGGUAGAGGUUGGUGGAACUGCGAGUGUAGAGGUGAAAUUCGUAGAUAUUCGCAAGAACACCGGUGGCGAAGGCGGCCAACUGGACCAUCACUGACGCUGAGGCGCGAAAGCGUGGGGAGAAAACAGG